GGCGAGAUGGCUGAGCGGUCCAAGGCGCCAGACUAGCGUAUUACUAUUAGAUACGUGCGUGGGUUCGAAUCGCAUUCUCGUCA
rfam:Gymnopus luxurians FD-317 M1 unplaced genomic scaffold GYMLTscaffold_1, whole genome shotgun sequence.